rnacentral:lncRNA from 1 species
CCCUUCUUUACAGCAUCUUUUGGGAUUUAUCUCAAACAGGCCAGACAAGCUGGAAGUGACUUUUUGGAAGCUGCCUCAUGACUUUCUGCCUGGAUUGCGUGUGAUGGGAGUGUAAGUAUUUUCCUGCUACAGCACACCCCUCCAUAGGAAUAAGUGCACUUACUUGACUCAAUCAGCCAUCUGUGACUCCAUCAGCCACAGUGGAAACUAAUGGUAAUUGCCAAUUGUUAACCAGACAAUAGCAGAUGCUAACUUUAAUAUCCAGCAGUGCUCUUCCGAGCAUCUUUUAUGGAGACAUGGCCUCACUUUAAUACGUGUUUUCUUUCCCCAAAAUAAGGCAACUUAGUGAAGGCUGAUUAGCCUAGGGAGCUAUGUGACUUGAAGCAAUGAACUUCCAGGAAUGGCAGCCCAUGUGCUGUUUCUGGGCCAUAAUGCCUAGAAUGUGAAAAUUUAGAAGACUGGAUUUAAAAUUCUUCUCCGAAUGCAAUUUUUUUUUUCCCUGUGAAAUUUCACAAAGAGCCACGUCCUGGAUGCUAACACGAGAGCGAUGCCUUUCCUGGCAGUGUCCUUGCCUCCUAUUAGAUAAUCAAUUAGUCUCAGAACAUUAAAAAGCAAAAUGCUGCAACAGGAUUUUCCACCAAAUUCAAAAAUAUUUACUAAAGGAUUUCAUUGCUGCUGUUUAUUUACAUGGAAGCCUGAAGGCCGCACGACAUAAUGCUGCUGCUCUGGCACCAAGACAGCUCUGCAGCCUGGGCCCCGAAGGACAUCUGGAGUUUCUGGGUCACAGUGGUUCCUUUUUGCAGAAAUUUGCUCGCAGGAAGUAAUGAAUGAGCCCAUUUUCACUUCGACUGGGGCCUGCAGUCUACGGGAGACAUUAGGAGCAAUUUGUAGUCAACGUGCAGGUGUUGUCUGCAGGACCUUUGUCAGAUUUGUUCUUCCCAAGGUCUGGAGUGAUGGGAUGAGCACACCCAGUGGCCAGCAGAAAUUUCUCCAGUGAAGUUUUGGGGCAAAGGAGCCGUGGUGCAUCCCCAAAACCACUUACAGGAAGUUCACAUGAAGUUUCUGAACCUCCACUUUGCCCCCUGGGGAAAAGCAGCCCGGAAAUAAGGUGAAAGUGUUCUGAAAGAAAUGAGGAAAU